UAGCUCAGUGGGUAGAGUACUUGCCUAGCAUUCAUGAGGUCCUGGGUUCAAGCCCCAG
rnacentral:tRNA from 1 species